GGAGAAGACACAGUCCGUGAAAGCGAUCAAUAAUCUUCUGCGGAGAAAAGGACGUCCGGGGCCACCUAGUCACUCAGUUCAUAACCAGUGUCGGUGCCUCAGUGGUUGGUUGGUAAAGGUUUCACACUAAAUCGAGCCGGAAGAUGUGCCCGUUAAAGAUCCGGAGAGUAUAGGCGGUUCUAACGGUGGACACCAUCCCGAACUCGUUGAAAUUUUACGUCAAUAGCCACGGAAUCAGUCCUCACGGGAGAGGAUUAAAAGACGAUUUGAAAAAAGACGAUUUGAUUAAAAGUAUAACAUACAUGCUUUGGAUGCUGAUUUCGUCGUUAUUCAGCCGGGUGCGGAGGACUUCCUGGUGGUCAUCAAGAUACAGUGCUGAAUCAUAAUCCGAAGCAGAUACCUUAUCGGGGAGCGGCGU